rnacentral:rRNA from 1 species
GAUGAACGCUGGCGGCGUGCCUAAUACAUGCGAGUCGAGCGAACAGACGAGAGUGCUUGCACUCUCUGACGUUAGCGGCGGACGGGUGAGUAACACGUGGGUAACCUACCUAUAAGACUGGGAUAACUUCGGGAAACCGGAGCUAAUACCGGAUAAUAUUUAGCUUCGCAUGAAGCAAUAGUGAAAGACGGUUCUGCUGUCACUUAUAGAUGGACCCGCGGUGUAUUAGCUAGUUGGUGAGGUAACGGCUCACCAAGGCAACGAUACAUAGCCGACCUGAGAGGGUGAUCGGCCACACUGGGACUGAGACACGGCCCAGACUCCUACGGGAGGCAGCAGUAGGGAAUCUUCCGCAAUGGACGAAAGUCUGACGGAGCAAUGCCGCGUGAGUGAAGAAGGUUUUCGGAUCGUAAAACUCUGUUGUAAGAGAAGAACAAGUACGUUAGUAACUGAACGUACCUUGACGGUACCUUACCAGAAAGCCACGGCUAACUACGUG